rnacentral:rRNA from 1 species
AGCGAAUAGAUACCCCGGUAGUCCACGCCGUAAACUAUGGAUGCUAGCCGUCGGCAAGCUUGCUUGUCGGUGGCGCAGCUAACGCUUUAAGCAUCCCGCCUGGGGAGUACGGCCGCAAGGUUAAAACUCAAAGGAAUUGACGGGGGCCCGCACAAGCGGUGGAGCAUGUGGUUUAAUUCGACGCAACGCGAAGAACCUUACCAGCUCUUGACAUUUACGGACCGUUUCCAGAGAUGGAUUCACUCUAGCAAUACGGCGUAGGACGAGGUGCUGCAGUGGCUGUCGUACAGCUCGUGUCGUAGA